AGAGUUUGAUCCUGGCUCAGGACGAAACGCUGGCGGCGUGCUUAACACAUGCAAGUCGAACGAUGAAGCCGCUUCGGUGGUGGAUUAGUGGCGAACGGGUGAGUAACACGUGGGCAAUCUGCCCUGCACUCUGGGACAAGCCCUGGAAACGGGGUUUAAUACCGGAUAUGACACACGGCCGCAUGGUCUGUGUGUGGAAAGCUCCGGCGGUGCAGGAUGAGCCCGCGGCCUAUCAGCUUGUUGGUGGGGUAAUGGCCUACCAAGGCGACGACGGGUAGCCGGCCUGAGAGGGCGACCGGCCACACUGGGACUGAGACACGGCCCAGACUCCUACGGGAGGCAGCAGUGGGGAAUAUUGCACAAUGGGCGCAAGCCUGAUGCAGCGACGCCGCGUGAGGGAUGACGGCCUUCGGGUUGUAAACCUCUUUCAGCAGGGAAGAAGCGCAAGUGACGGUACCUGCAGAAGAAGCACCGGCUAACUACGUGCCAGCAGCCGCGGUAAUACGUAGGGUGCGAGCGUUGUCCGGAAUUAUUGGGCGUAAAGAGCUCGUAGGCGGCUUGUCGCGUCGGAUGUGAAAGCCCGGGGCUUAACCCCGGGUCUGCAUUCGAUACGGGCAGGCUAGAGUUCGGUAGGGGAGAUCGGAAUUCCUGGUGUAGCGGUGAAAUGCGCAGAUAUCAGGAGGAACACCGGUGGCGAAGGCGGAUCUCUGGGCCGAUACUGACGCUGAGGAGCGAAAGCGUGGGGAGCGAACAGGAUUAGAUACCCUGGUAGUCCACGCCGUAAACGUUGGGAACUAGGUGUGGGCGACAUUCCACGUCGUCCGUGCCGCAGCUAACGCAUUAAGUUCCCCGCCUGGGGAGUACGGCCGCAAGGCUAAAACUCAAAGGAAUUGACGG
rnacentral:rRNA from 1 species